AUUGAACGCUGGCGGCAGGCCUAACACAUGCAAGUCGAGCGAGCGGCGGACGGGUGAGAAAUGUCUGGGAAACUGCCUGAUGGAGGGGGAUAACUACUGGAAACGGUAGCUAAUACCGCAUACCAUCAGAUGUGCCCAGGUGGGCUUAGCUAGUAGGUGGGGUAACGGCUACCCUAGGCGACGAUCCCUAGCUGGUCUGAGAGGAUGACCAGCAACACUGGAACUGAGACACGGGCCAGACUCCUCCGGGAGGCAGCAGUGGGAAAUAUUGCAAAAUGGGCGAAAGCCUGAUGCAGCCAUGCCGAGUGUGUGAAGAAGGCCUUCGGGUUGUAAAGCACUUUCAGCGGGGAGGCGUUACCCGCAGAAGAAGCACCGGCUAACUCCGUGCCAGCAGCCGCGGUAAUAC
rnacentral:rRNA from 1 species